rnacentral:misc_RNA from 1 species
UGAUUUUAGCACCCUACAGGCCUCCGCUCCAUUGCCAAGCUCGCUGACCAAGCCAUGACAGAUGCCCUCUUGACCCCGCCAUCCGAAGCCUCCCGCGUUCGCGCAGGGCUGCCCGGAAAGUCAUUCGCACGGCGUGCGACGGCGAUCGUCACUGCUGCGGCGCUGCUCGUCGGCUCGUGGCCGGCGCAUGCACAGCAGGGCGGCCCACCCCUCCUGCGCGAUGCCGAAACCGAGCAACUUCUACGCGACUAUACGCGGCCGAUCCUG